rnacentral:rRNA from 1 species
CAGCAGCCGCGGUAAUACGAGGGGAGCUAGCGUUAUUCGGAAUUACUGGGCGUAAAGCGCACGUAGGCGGCUUUGUAAGUUAGAGGUGAAAGCCCAGAGCUCAACUCUGGAAUUGCCUUUAAGACUGCAUCGCUUGAAUCCAGGAGAGGUGAGUGGAAUUCCGAGCGUAGAGGUGAAAUUCGUAGAUAUUCGGAAGAACACCAGUGGCGAAGGCGGCUCACUGGACUGGUAUUGACGCUGAGGUGCGAAAGCGUGGGGAGCAAACAGGAUUAGAUACCCCUGUAGUCCCUGUCUCUUAUAC